rnacentral:lncRNA from 1 species
AUGUAUUCGAAAAAAGGGACAAAAGUAAACAAAAUUAUCGAAGAAAAUGUAUUACUUCAUAACAGUUCAAACAUAUUUGAUAAUAAUAUUAUGUCCGAUAAUAAAAUUAUUACUACCACUACUAAUACUACUACCGCAUAUAACAAUAAUCAUAACAAUAAUUUAUUAACUGGAUACAGUUACGACGAUGUUCAAAAUUUAAAUAAAUACGAUAAUUCUAAUAAUUUAACAUAUAACAAACAAUUAACCGAUAUAUCAAAUAAAGAAAAUAUAACUUCAUAUAGGAAUGUAUAUAAUACCGAUUAUUUUUCCGAUCAACAAAAAAAAAAUCUAAUGCAAUUGACUUCCCAAGGCGUAAUUCAUAGUUAUAACAAUGGCAUACCAAUCAUGCAUAAUAAUAGUAGUAGUAAUAAUAGUGGCAGUAGUAGUAGUAAUAAUAGUGGCAGUAGUAGUAGUAGUAAUAGUAGUAGUAGUAGUAGUAGUAGUAGUAGUGGUAGUAGUAGUAAUAAUAAUAAUAAUAGUGGCAGUAGUAGUAAUAAUAAUAAUGGCAGUAGUAGUAAUAAUAAUAGUGGCAGUAGUAGUAGUAAUAAUAAUGGCAGUAGUAGUAAUAAUAAUAAUGGCAAUAGUAGUAAUAAUAAUAAUGGCAGUAGUAGUAAUACAAACGUUUUGAAUAAAAUUUGUUAUGAUCCUUAUGAAAGUACUGCAGGUGAACAACCUAUCGUUCCAUAUACAACGGAAAGAAAAAAUGAAAAUUAUAAUCAAACGGAUGUACAAGUAGGUCAAUUUGAUUAUCCCAUAAAUAAUAGUACUGCAACUUCAUGUAAAAUAAAUCCACAAAUAAAAAAAAACUAUACUUGCUUAAAUAAUAUAUCAGAUAAUGAUAAAUGUGCAUAUAUAAGAGAGACGAAUGCAGAUUAUAACACAACAAAACAAAUAUAUUUUAUUCCAAAUAAUUUUAAUACUUGUAUGAAAUAUGACCAAUCUAGUAAUAUAAUUAAUAAUUUAAUACCUAUAAAACAAGUAGAGUAUAAUUCAAAUAAAGAAACAUAUACUGUAUAUUCAACUAAGGAAAAUAAUUUAUAUGAAAAUUUAAAUGAUAAUAAUUUGAAAAACGAUACAGGAAGAGGUUUAAAAGGUUUACUUCAACACAAUGGACACGAUAAAAGUACAUCAUACAUGUUGAAUAAAACACAUGUGUAUAAAGGAGAUGUCGAACAUAAUACCCAUGAAAAAUAUAACUAUUAUGUUGGUAAUAUAAAGGGUAAAGAAAGUAGAGAGAGUAGAGAAAAUAGUGAUAACAACAAAAAUAACAAUGGUGUAACUUAUAUACCAACAAAUUAUAUAAACGAAAUAAAUUAUACAAAAUAUAAUAAAACAAUUGAAAAUAUAAAUGAAAAUUUAAGUGAAAACAUAAAUGAAAAUAUAAAUGGAAAUAUAAAUACUACUAAACAAAUUUCAAUGUUUCAACAAGCGAAUAUUGUAACUGCUUCCCCUCCUAAUAAAAAUCUCAACUUCCAUACUUUUCAUAAUGAUUUGAUUAAUAAAACAAAUAAUAAUAAUAAUAAUAAUAAUAAUAAUAAUAAUAAUAAUAAUAANNNNNNNNNNAUAAUAAUAAUAAUAAUAAUAAUAAUAAUAAUAAUAAUAAUAAUAAUUAUGUUAAAAAUUCUGAAUCGUCAGCAGAAAAAAAAAAAAAUGAAAUGA